UACGUAGGCAGCGAGCGUUGUUCGGAGUUACUGGGCGUAAAGGGUGUGUAGGCGGUUUUCUAAGUUUGGUGUGAAAUCUCCCGGCUCAACCGGGAGGGUGCGCCGAAAACUGGGGGACUAGGGUGCGGGAUGGGAGAGUAGAAUUCCUGGUGUAGCGGUGAAAUGCGUAGAUAUCAGGAGGAAUACCGGUGGUGUAGACGGCUCUCUGGACCGCCACUGACGCUGAGACACGGAAAGCGUGGGUAGCAAACAGG
rnacentral:rRNA from 1 species